GAUGAACGCUAGCUACAGGCUUAACACAUGCAAGUCGAGGGACCGGCGCACGGGUGAGUAACACGUAUCCAACCUGCCCUUUACUCGGGGAUAGCCUUUCGAAAGAAAGAUUAAUACCCGAUAUAAAGGAUGGGGAUGCGUUCCAUUAGGUUGUUGGUGAGGUAACGGCCCACCAAGCCUUCGAUGGAUAGGGGUUCUGAGAGGAAGGUCCACCUGAUUGGAACUGAGACACGGUCCAAACUACUACGGGAGGCAGGAGGGAGGAAUAUUGGGCAAUGGGCGUUAGCCUGAACCAGCCAAGUAGCGUGAAGGAUGAAGGCGUAUGGGUCGGAAACUUCUUGUAUAUAAGAAUAUGUAUUAGAUGAAUAAGGAUCGGCUAACUCCGUGCCAGCCGCCGCGGUAAUUC
rnacentral:rRNA from 1 species